GAUGAACGCUGGCGGCGUGCCUAAUACAUGCAAGUCGAGCGAACGGACGAGAAGCUUGCUUCUCUGAUGUUAGCGGCGGACGGGUGAGUAACACGUGGAUAACCUACCUAUAAGACUGGGAUAACUUCGGGAAACCGUAGCUAAUACCGGAUAAUAUUUUGAACCGCAUGGUUCAAAAGUGAAAGACGGUCUUGCUGUCACUUAUAGAUGGAUCCGCGCUGCAUUAGCUAGUUGGUAAGGUAACGGCUUACCAAGGCAACGAUGCAUAGCCGACCUGAGAGGGUGAUCGGCCACACUGGAACUGAGACACGGUCCAGACUCCUACGGGAGGCAUCAGUAGGGAAUCUUCCGCAAUGGGCGAAAGCCUGACGGAGCAACGCCGCGUGAGUGAUGAAGGUCUUCGGAUCGUAAAACUCUGUUAUUAGGGAAGAACAUAUGUGUAAGUAACUGUGCACAUCUUGACGGUACCUAAUCAGAAAGCCACGGCUAACUACGUG
rnacentral:rRNA from 1 species